AAUGGAUGUCAGUGAUAAUGCAUUGUGAUUGAAACGAAUAGAAAGAGAGAAUUGUGCUUGGCCGUUGGCUUUGACUUCGCUUGACUGACACAAUUUCCCAAAGGCCUUUGUUCGCCGAUUGUGGAUCAGUUGGUCAGGAAAAGCCGAUGAAAAGCAAAGGCCAAUUGUUAUUCUUUGGAAGAAGCUGUCAACAGCAAGGCGUGUCUAAGAACAGACAACAGAGCUCAAUGCCGUGAUAACCCCGAAGCGACAAAACUUUCAAUGGGUUUUUUCCCCGAAGAAGCAGCCGCUAUGCAGAUCACGUUUUCCCAGACCAAUACCAAUACCAUUACCAAAACCAAGACCAAGAGCAAGACCAGAAAAGGC
rnacentral:sRNA from 1 species